rnacentral:rRNA from 1 species
UACGUAGGGUGCAAGCGUUGUCCGGAAUCAUUGGGCGUAAAGCGCGCGUAGGUGGCUUCGUAAGUCCGUUGUGAAAGUCAAAGGCUCAACCUUUGAAUGCCGAUGGAUACUGCGAAGCUAGAGUACGGAAGAGGCGAGUGGAAUUCCUGGUGUAGCGGUGGAAUGCGCAGAUAUCAGGAGGAACACCAAUAGCGAAGGCAGCUCGCUGGGACGUUACUGACACUAAGGCGCGAAAGCGUGGGGAGCGAACGAGGA